rnacentral:rRNA from 1 species
UACGGGGGGGGCAAGCGUUGUUCGGAAUUAUUGGGCGGAAAGAGCUCGUAGGCGGUCUGUCGCGUCUGCUGUGAAAUCUCAGGGCUUAACCCUGAGCUUGCAGUGGGUACGGGCAGACUAGAGUGCGGUAGGGGAGACUGGAAUUCCUGGUGUAGCGGUGAAAUGCGCAGAUAUCAGGAGGAACACCGGUGGCGAAGGCGGGUCUCUGGGCCGUAACUGACGCUGAGGAGCGAAAGCAUGGGGAGCGAACAGG